GUCUGCGACGAUAACACAUUGAAUACACCAGUUCCCAAUGGAACACUGAAGUUAAGCAAUGUUGCGUGUGGUUGGUAUCCGGCUGGGUGACCAUCUGGGCAACCGCGUAUUGCUGGUU
rnacentral:rRNA from 1 species